rnacentral:rRNA from 1 species
UAGGGAAUCUUCGGCAAUGGGGGCAACCCAGACCGAGCAACGCCGCGUGAGUGAAGAAGGUUUUCGGAUCGUAAAGCUCUGUUGUAAGAGAAGAACGUGUGUGAGAGUGGAAAGUUCACACAGUGACGGUAACUUACCAGAAAGGGACGGCUAACUACGUGCCAGCAGCCGCGGUAAUACGUAGGUCCCGAGCGUUGUCCGGAUUUAUUUGGCGUAAAGCGAGCGCAGGCGGUUUAAUAAGUCUGAAGUUAAAGGCAGUGGCUUAACCAUUGUUCGCUUUGGAAACUGUUAAACUUGAGUGCAGAAGGGGAGAGUGGAAUUCCAUGUGUAGCGGUGAAAUGCGUAGAUAUAUGGAGGAACACCGGUGGCGAAAGCGGCUCUCUGGUCUGUAACUGACGCUGAGGCUCGAAAGCGUGGGGAGCAAACAGG